rnacentral:lncRNA from 1 species
UCAGAUAUACAAACCACCCCCCAUAACCGUUUUGGCAGUUAUCAUAUAGAUGUCCAUUUGACAGUUACUAGAUAUACUCAUAUGUACAUUUUAUAUAUUAACAAUUGAUGAAAGCUCUUAACAACAGUAUCAGUUUCCCGGUUUCAUAUGACCGGCAUCUUCCGGUCUUCCCCAUCUCUGCGUAACCCAUCUCCAAACUCAAAAGACAGCCCCCAGACUCACCCAAAUCAUAAACUGCAACACCCCAUCAUUGUUCCUUUAACGAUAGAAGUAUGUAAUUGUUUCAAAGAGACCGAAAUCAGUGUUUCGGCGGCUAGGAUUUCAUUGCGAACCCGACUACGGCGGUGAUUUGGGUUGUUGGUUCUGCGUCGGCUAGGGUUUCAGUUUAAAUCCGAAGACAGCGGUGAUUUCAAGUUGUCACUUCAAGGCCCAAAGCGGCAAUCGGAGAUUACGUUCACGAUCUCUCUGCGAUUCUUUCUGCAUGUUUGGUUGAUGAUCCAUUACUUUCCGAUUCAAAUUGUUUUUAUCAGGUCAAGAUAGUAACUAAUCACAAGAAAUUAGUCAGGGUCUGUGACAUAAUUAAUGAAUAUCUGGAUAUUUUUAUGGCUCGGCUUUGGUCCUGGAAAUGAGAGUAUUUGUUAUGCAUCCUUUCUUCAUACGAUUGCUGGAAAUGGGAGCCUAACAGAAUCAGGAUGGUAGCAGCAGCCCCGUUCAACACUCCAAGAGUCCAAGGCAACUCAUUUAGCUUUGUAAUGGACAAGGCUGGAGAUAUAUGUCAAAAUAGGAAAGCAGUUGGGUUGACCCAAUACAACUUACAGUCCUUUAUAUUUUGUACAUUAUUUCCUUACCAGUUAUCCUAAUUUGACAACAUGUUCACAGAAAAACAUACCCGCCGCGAAGCGCGGGCGUUAUCUGCUAGUUUGUAUCAAGCGGUGAAAGAAGAUUCAAGUUUUGAAUAUACAAUUUCAUUGUUUUCUUAUCACGUUAUCAACAACUUGACUCUCCGCUGAGAUUUACAGGCCAUCUGCAACAAAUCAAACUGGGAUUAAUUGGAAAUCUGAAAGACAACCUUCUCUUCCUCACAUCCUGCGGAACACACCACUGAUUCUUCAACAGAUUUUAUCCAAUUUCAAUAACUGUCGUUCCUCAAAUCCGGGUACGCACCAUCAAACUUUCUGCACUACGUUUUAAUGUUGUAUUUAUUACAGUAUAGAUAUGAAAAUCCAAAGGAUCACACACAACUAUCGAUUUUACAACAUGGUAACGGGAAGAAUUUUUUUUCAUAUGCUUCUAUGGUGGCAUGCCAACAUGUUUCAUGUAUUUUUUCGAACUUAAUUUUACAUCUGAUCCUUUGGAACAAACGAAAUACGAUUUUCUAUCUAGAUUUUAGAUUACGUGGCAUAUGAUUAUUUAUCUGGACUAUAGAACACCGUAGGAGUUUUUCUCUGAGUUGUACUUACAGACACAACAUUUAAGAAUUGAAACAACAUAUCACCGAAUCUAUUAAUUUUUCUUCUUCCUCACUAACAAACGGCGGUCACUACCGACACACCACAAUCUUAC